rnacentral:rRNA from 1 species
GAUGAACGCUCGCUACAGGCUUAACACAUGCAAGUCGAGGGGAAACGGCAUCGAAAGCUUGCUUUUGAUGGGCGUCGACCGGCGCACGGGUGAGUAACGCGUAUCCAACCUGCCCAUCACUUGGGAAUAACCUUGCGAAAGUAAGACUAAUGCCCAAUGACAUCCCACGAAGGCAUCCGAAUGGGAUUAAAGAUUUAUCGGUGAUGGAUGGGGAUGCGUCUGAUUAGCUUGUUGGCGGGGUGACGGCCCACCAAGGCAACGAUCAGUAGGGGUUCUGAGAGGAAGGUCCCCCACAUUGGAACUGAGACACGGUCCAAACUCCUACGGGAGGCAGCAGUGAGGAAUAUUGGUCAAUGGGCGAGAGCCUGAACCAGCCAAGUAGCGUGCAGGAUGACGGCCCUAUGGGUUGUAAACUGCUUUUAUAAGGGAAUAAAGUGGGUCACGUGUGACUUUUUGCAUGUACCUUAUGAAUAAGAACCGGCUAAUUCCGUG